rnacentral:misc_RNA from 1 species
AUCGAAUCCCCUUGCCAAUUUCCUAUUUAUUAGGUAUUGCGUGCAGGGUGAAUAUGUUGGCCUCCCGUGAGCUCUGUCUCGUGGUUGGUUGAAAAUUGAGACCUUGGUAGGGUGUGCCAUGAUAGAUGGUGGAUGUGUGACCCACGAGACCAAAUCAUGUGCAGCUCUAUUGAACGUGGACUCUUUUACCCACAUGUGUUUUAUAACGCUCGUG